ensembl:lncRNA
CUUUCUCACAGCAUGGUAUUCGUCAUUGUUUUGUUUGCGAGCAUCUAUAUAUGCCGUGGAAGUUCUGGGGAGAGAGUUUCAGAAAAAGAAAACUGAAACUAAGAAGGAAAUCAAAAGCAAAAAGCCAGAAACUACUUCUUUAGCCCUUUUCUUUAUGAUCUCAGGACUUCAGGGACCUUGAAAGAUUGAUUUCCUCUCACUCAAGUUUCUUAUAAAAUUAGCUUUGGCUCAUACAUCUGUAACACAGUAGUUAAUUUUACAAGAUAAGCAGUACAGGGGAAAUGUAUCUGAGGGGAAAAUCGAGUGCUGGAAGCUCGAGAGACACUUAUAAGGUCACAAAACAAAGCCGCAUCCACCUGCCUGUAAUGGUUCUGGAGACUGUACCAGCCACGGCAAUGGAAGUAUUAACCAGUUCUUCAUCUUCACAGCUACUUAUGCCAUUCCUGGAGACUAAAUGUGCUUUCAGAUAAGGACCAUUGGCUAUCUGAGCUGGAAGGAAAAUUACAGUCUUUUUAAUUCAAUCCUUUCACUUUUUAGAAGGAGUCCCUGAGGCUCAGAAAGGCCCCUAAAGAUCCAGCAGUUUCUUUGGGAGCAGAGCUGGAAUUAGAACCAAGUGUCUCGACUAAUCUAGAUUCCUAAUCUGGAGCUCCUUAUACUCAGAGUGACUAAAAACCAGAAUGAUUUCUCACUUAUACACUCAGAGAAAGUCUCUGUGAAUUAAUUAAUCUUUUUAUUGGGAUAUGUUAAUCUUUUAAAACAUGCAGAAGACUCAUUUUACUUCAAUAUAUGUCAGCUUUGGGAAAAUGUUCACAAAUAAACUUCCCUAAGAAGCAACUUGGAGAUGUCUUCUGAACAGUUUGAUGAGACUGGCCUGUAAAACUGCUCAGUGGUCCACAGAUUACGAAUUUUGAAGUGACUAUUAACUAGAACUAUUAAAUUUCCACCUGAUUAUCAAAAUGCUGUGUUAAUCAACUUGCUUCAACAAAAUUCCCUUCAAGUCAGUCAAAUAAGUGGGGUUUCUCUCUGUUGUGCUCCAAGUGAUUGCAGUAGUUCAACAGGCAAGUUCUGAGGGUACAGCAUUCCUAUGGAACACACAAGGCUACUUAUCCCCAUCUCCCUUUGAUGCUUUUCCCUAAAACAUGGACUUAGCAUUUCCCAAGUGUGUCCCUUCGAAUGUUCACUUGGAUUUGAAAAGAUGAUUCCAUGGUCAGGUAAGUUUAAGAAACAUAGUUAACCUAGUUUCUUUUAUUAUGCUAAUUUGAUUCUUUACUCAUCAACAAAUAUUUGUUCAGCGCCUACUAUGUGUCAGGCACUAUUUUAGGUGCUUAGGACCCAGAGGUGAAGAAAAAGGACACAAAUCUCUGUUCUCGUGGAGCUUAUAGACAACACAAUGUAUGUAGCUUUUUCCUUCUGUUGAAUUAAUUCUUGAGUUAAUGCCCUCUUAAGAAUUGAUUCUUAAGUUAAAUUCCCAGAAAUGGGACAAUGAAUUGCGUAAUUAAUAAUUUGCAGUAAUAAUAAGUGCUAUGAAGGAAAAACCCAAAGUGCUAUGGGAGGAUAUAAUAAGAGGAUUUAUUAGGGACUUGUUACAAGAGUCUCUUAUGGAGGGAUGCUCACCUUAAUGAGAUGCUGAAUCUGGCUGAGGGUAGAGAGAACUUGAUGUUUUGAAAGCCCCUCCUGAUGCGUCCAGUCUCUUCCACAGUGUUCCCUUUUCUUUGUGACAAUCCUACCACACCCUGGAGCUCCAUUCCUGGGACAGCAAAAACCCAGCACAGUCAACUACCGUGGCCUCAGGCAGUUCUUCCCAUCCCCAGGUGUUCUAGAUGAGCAACAAGCAGCAAUUGGACCUAUAUAGGCAGGGCCAAAUGACAGAAAUUUAGUCAGGAAGGAGUGACUCAAGGCUCUCACCAUUAAAGACUGACAUUUCCUUUAAACUUGACAUCUAGGCAAACUUUUUCUGAAAUGUAAAAAAUAUUCACUUUUGCGUCAAAAACCAUGAAAGUGUUCAUAUCCUUUGACUCAGCAAUCCCCCUCCUGGAAAUUAAACUUAAGAAUUAAUUCAAGAGAAGAAUAAAGCUACAUACACUAAGUUGAUCAUUAUAAGUUAAGUAUAACAAUAAGGAGAAAAAAAGCAAAUAAUAAAAAUAUCCUACAGUUGGGAAACUGUUAGAUUGUGGUAUAUUAACUUGUUAGAAUUAUUAACUAGUGGCCAUUAUGUCAACUAGGGAAAAAUACGAAUGAAGUAAUGGCAAGUGAAAAAGCAGAAUACAAAAUUGUAUGCGAAGGAAUGUUAUAUAAAAAUGGGUAUGCAAAACACAGAUGACAAGGUAAAACGGAAAAGUGAAAUCAAUUUGCUAGGGUGGUAGGACAACAGGAUAGAAACUCAUUAUGAACUAGCUUAAGCAAAAAGGAAAAAUUCAUUAGCUCAAAUAACCAAGCCUUAGGCAGAGCCGGAGUGGCGCUGGCCUUAGAGCUGUCUUGCAAGAGGGACACAAAUUGCCAUCAGGACUUUGUGUUACUCUCUCUUCACUUCUCUCUGCAGAGAAGCCUCUUUUCUCUCAAACCAGCUUCUUCCCAAGAUGAGGAGAUCCUCAUCUUCCCCAAAUGAGUUUAGAUCCCUCUAAACUGACACUCUUAAUAUAAGCUGUUGACCUUAAACAAAUAGACAGUUAUUUCUCCAGCAAAAAUGGGGUUUAUUGGGAAUCAGCAAAGAAUUACAAUUCCAGGCCUGCGACCACGGUGAGCCACAUGCAAGUCCCAAGCAGCAGGAGGAGAAACUUUUUUAUAGAGGGGAAGAGGAAGUGGGGAGGGCUAUAAUAAACCGAGGCCAGUGGAGGAGACUAGGAGUUCCAAGCCUACUGGCUUUUCAUUGGCUGAGUUGUGAGUCUCUCAUUGGCUGAGCUUCUUUUUGAUCAAGAAGAGAAGUCGUUCAGGUUCUCACGUUCUGCUUCUGGGGGGUAGGGGGCAUGGGUUCACCUGUUCGGAUCCCGGGUGCGGACAUGGCACCACUUGGCAAAAGCCAUGCUGUGGUAGGCGUCCCACGUAUAAAGUAGAGGAAGAUGGGCACGGAUGUUAGCUCAGGGCCAGUCUUCCUCAGCAAAAAGAGGAGGAUUGGCAGUAGUUAGCUCAGGGCUAAUCUUCCUCAAAAGAAAAAAAGAAGAGAAGUCUUUCUCCUUCUUCGGCUCCGCUAUGAUAUAGGGCACGAGAGCUCCUUCUUUCGGCCUCCCCACUCCACUUUAAUGAGGUUUCUGUUUGUUAAUUUCCACAGUUUCAUCCAGGAUGAAAAAUGCUUGCUCAGAUCCAGUUUGAGAACAGCUCUGGGGAAGGGUUGUGAUUGGCUUGGCUUCAGUCACGUGCCCAUCCUGGGCCAACAUGGCCAGGCUACCAGGAUUGGCACCUACCUCCGAACCAAGCACGUGCUCAAGGAACCAGGGUCAUUCAAGAAGACAGUAACUUCCAUUUGGAUCCAGUGUCUAGAGGAAGAGGGGAGCAUUUUCCUAAAAGGAGAGAGGUGCUGCUGUCAGUGGAAAUUAACCUGCCUAUAGUUCAAUUUAACAUUUUAGGAAGACAUUUCUUCUCUUAGUACUGCUCCCAAUAGCAGCCUGUGAUUUCCUGGCAGCAUGCUUUGUUAUAAGGCCACAUGGUAUAGUGGACAGGGCACUACACCAAAUGCCAAGAAAAUGGAUUCUCCUAGCUCUACCAUGAAUCAGCUGUGUGUCCUUGGGCUAGUUCUUAAACCUCUCUGAAUUUCAGUUUCUUUAUCCUGGCCAGAAUAUCUUGAAGGCAGGAACUUAGUCUAUCUGAAAUGGAAAUUUGCAUUUGAGAACAAUCCCUGGGGCUUGGGUUAGGCAGAGGUAGAAGCUGAACUAUAACAUGGUUGCAACGGAGGCCUCAGCUAGUCUCAUGGGGAGCUCUGGGCUUAGGAUGACUUUUCAGGGUUGUCACAAAUUUCAGUAAGUGGACCUACUUUAUAUGCCCAUGUAGACUGGAUGAGGCUAUUCCUAGGGUAGUACCACGAACCUGGGCGGGGCAAUUUCCUCAACCUCAGGCAAUUCCUGGAGAGGGGUUCAGCUAAGAGCUGAUGGCAGCCAAUACACCUAGCUGCUAGGAGAACAAAUGCCUUGGUCCUGAAGGAGGGUAUCUGGGAACCACACUACAGCGUUCACUACAAUCAAUAUACUUAUAGCACCAAUAGGUACAGUGCCUGGCACAGGGUAGGUGCUCAUUAAAUAUUGGUUUAAUGAAUAAAUUAUAUAAAAGAGAAGGUGAGGAU